rnacentral:rRNA from 1 species
ACGCGUGAGUAACCUGCCUCCAAGAGGGGGAUAACAUUCUGAAAAGAAUGCUAAUACCGCAUGAGACUACAGAGCUGCAUGGCUCAGUGGUCAAAGGAGCAAUCCGCUGAAAGAUGGACUCGCGUCCGAUUAGAUAGUAGGCGGGGUAACGGCCCACCUAGUCGACGAUCGGUAGCCGGACUGAGAGGUUGAACGGCCACAUUGGGACUGAGACACGGCCCAGACUCCUACGGGAGGCAGCAUG